UACAGAGGGUGCGAGCGUUAAUCGGAAUUACUGGGCGUAAAGGGUGCGUAGGUGGUUAUGUAAGUUAGAUGUGAAAUUCCUGGGCUUAACCUGGGGACUGCGUCUGAGUACUGCAAAGCUAGAGUACUGUAGAGGGAAGUGGAAUUUCCGGUGUAGCAGUGAAAUGCGUAGAUAUCGGAAGGAACAUCAGUGGCGAAGGCGACUUCCUGGACAGAUACUGACACUGAGGCACGGAAAGCGUGGGGAGCAAACAGG
rnacentral:rRNA from 1 species